UUACGGCCGUACCACGUUGAAACAUCGGUUCUCGUACGAUCACCGAGGUUAAGCAACGUUGAAGCUGGUUAGUGCCGCAUAUGGGUGACCGUUCGGGAAUACCAGGUACUGUA